rnacentral:rRNA from 1 species
GACGAACGCUGGCGGCGUGCCUAAUACAUGCAAGUAGAACGCUGACUACUUUAGCUUGCUAGAGUAGAAGGAGUUGCGAACGGGUGAGUAACGCGUAGGUAACCUGCCUACUAGCGGGGGAUAACUAUUGGAAACGAUAGCUAAUACCGCAUAACAGUGUUUAACACAUGUUAGAUGCUUGAAAGAUGCAAUUGCAUCACUAGUAGAUGGACCUGCGUUGUAUUAGCUAGUUGGUGGGGUAACGGCCCACCAAGGCGACGAUACAUAGCCGACCUGAGAGGGUGAUCGGCCACACUGGGACUGAGACACGGCCCAGACUCCUACGGGAGGCAGCAGUAGGGAAUCUUCGGCAAUGGGGGCAACCCUGACCGAGCAACGCCGCGUGAGUGAAGAAGGUUUUCGGAUCGUAAAGCUCUGUUGUAAGAGAAGAACGUGUGUGAGAGUGGAAAGUUCACACAGUGACGGUAACUUACCAGAAAGGGACGGCUAACUACGUGCCAGCAGCCGCCGUAAGAC